UGUAUUUAUAUGAUAGACGUUCUGAACAAACUGUCAGAGUCGGUCUGAUGGAGAUCAGCCUGGUCACACGAUCUGACGUAGACGUAGAGCUUCAUUAGUGUCAUCCAAUCAGAAGCUGUGUGUUAUUUUCAAAGUGUGAAGGUGUGUGUUGAGAAAGUGAAGUUUUUCUUCUGGUCUCAGGAGGAUGAGGAAGACUAUGCAGAGGAAGAGGAGGAGGAAGAGGACCAGCCGGGCGUUCAGGGACAGAAGAGAAAGAGAGACGUGGAUGAUGAAGGCGAGGAGGAAGACGACGACGACGAUGAAGACGACUAGUCCUUCAAUCAACUCGUCGUCUGUGUGUCGUCCUGUUUCUGUCCGUCUCAGUCCACCUCCGGACCCGACCUCCGCCAGACAACAAUCACUGCAACCAUGGCAACAACAUCAGCAGCAACAGGAACGGUGAUCUGAAAUAGUCCCUUUCAGUUUGCAGUAGAAAAUCACGUCUUUGUUUUUAGAUAAUAUAAGAAGAUUCGAUCAGAACUUUACCUGAUGGUUCUCAGCUGAAGACUCAACACGUUUCCCUUUAAAACCUGGUUCAGGGUCAAAGCAUCCGUCUGUCCCAUAAGUCCGUCUCCACAUCCUGAGCCUGAACCCCGACCCUCGUCUCAUCGUCGGCUAGACGUCUGAAUCUGAAGUUCUGGUGUGAACCAACUCCUUGUUAAAGAACAGGUGUGAAAACCAAAACACACUUUGUCUCCAGGGCUGACGACUCUUCUUCUUCUUCUUCUUCUCCUGUAAACAGGUUUAGUUUUACCAGGCAGGUGGGUGAGCACUGACGCCCCCUAGUUUUCAGCUGUUGUACUGAGCAGCUUUUCCAGUCCAGACUACAAGAAGUGUUCCAGCACCUGAUGGUCUCAUUUCAUCAGGUUACCAUAGUUACCAAAUGAUUGUGUACCGACACAGAAGAAAAGCAGUUUGUGAUGUAAACUUUAAAGUGAAGAUGGUGGUUGUUGCUGUUACUGGAUGAUUCCUCUAGAGGGCACCACAGCAGUAAAAUCCAACAGAACCACCUGAUCUAUGUGACCUACAUGAUAAACAUGGCAAAUUUUGACAUUAGAAUUUGUUUAGAAUUGUCUCGGGGAACCACCGAUGGAUUCAAUUCUGUGCCGAGCUCAGACUGACUUGCGGUAAGAACUCGGUAACUCUCUCAGAUUGUUUGUGUUUAUUUUUGCAGGAUCAACCUUUAAAAUAGCUGACUGAUAUUUUGACGAGCAUGUUAUUGUCACUGUGUGGCAGGAACACCGCACUGCACAGACCACUCACCCGACACUGCCCCCUAUGGUUCAUGUACAUACUGCCUCUUGAAUACAGAUGGCGUUAAAUUCUGAGGGCGUGCUCUCAUGGAAGUUGACAUCGUGCACACAAACCCAGUGUUAAAAAGAAGCUCAUCUCCGACAGAUCAGAGCAGAUCAGUUUCACAGUCAUAUAAUCACCGUGACGACAUCCUGGGACUAAAACUCUUGUAGUCUGAACUGGACUCAGUUUGUUUUCUACGUUUUGAACGUCUGAGCUGAUCCUCAGUCGUCCUGAAUGUACAAACGUUAGUUUCACCUCCAACAAACCCGACUUCUCGUAUCAGGACCUUCUUCUUCACAGGUUUUUACAGAUUUAUCUUCAUCACAUCGUUCUUCUCUGAGCCUCAGACCAACAUCUGAUCUCAUCCAACAAAAACUUGUCGUUCAGGAUCAGAACUCUGUUCUUUCUGCAGCCAUAUCAGUCUCUGGACUCUGACUGGAGUGGAGAGCGCCCUCUUCAGGAGCUCCUUGUGUCUUACACCCAAUCAAGACGUCUCAUGUUUCCGUGUUGAACGGUUCAGGAUCUUCAUUCGCCGUCACGUUUCAGUCCGAUAAACUCCCUGACGUGGACGGGUCACGUGACUCUGCCGUCUCACAGUUGACAUAUGCAGACCUGCCGUCGCUCAGGUCCACAAAGAUCAUCUGAUUAAUAUUCCCAGUGUGUGUUUGAUUUAUUGUGGGGAUUCUUCAGGGAAGAUUAGGGGGCGGGUGGGGUGAAGUUGUAGUUUGGGUGUGUUUGUUUUUGAAGUUAACAGCAGCCUGUUUUUUGUCCCCGUCAGCAGCUGUUGAUGUUUUUAGUUUGAUGUAAAACUGAGCGUCUCGUCCUCAAACAGCCCGUCCCCUCGCGAUAUUCAGACCACUGCCGCUGUUGUCACACUUCAGGCUCCGCCUCCUAAACACAACCCUUUGAACCUGACGGAAAAGAGUGGUGCGUUCAGGUGCCAGUUUACUGGCAGGUUUGAGGCGAGCAGUGAGUCUGUGACGUGUCUCUGAGUUGUUACGCAAUGAUGCCUUCACUGACACCUGCUCAGCUUCCGACUCUACGACGCUGUCACCUGUCACAGGUGUGCAGUGGAUUAUGGGAUAUUAAGGACUAAAGACAGCUGACUUCCAAUGUUUCUCAGAGUGUGGUUGAGCUGGUUGCAGGGGGCGGAGUUUGAACGUGACACACCUGUUGUGUAUUUUCUACUUUCUCCUGCUUCAGUCACAGAAACAAACCUGCUCACAAACUGAAAAACUCAUCAUCAGAACAAUUAGACUCAAAAAUGAAUCUCAAGAGGAAACGUUCUCCCACGAUGUCGAGCGCUGGCGGUUUUUUUAUCAGGUGAGUCAGGUUUGUUCCUGAAGCUGCUCAGUUCGGGCUUUUAUCUAAACUGCUGUAAACUUUUAGCUUUUCUCUCAUUUUACACUUUUGAAAAUGGUAUCGUUUGAAAACAUCCACGUGUCUGGUUCUAACAUUCUCCACUUUUUUAGUUUUGACUCAGGAUGAAUUUUGAAUCAUAACUUUUAAACUGUUUCUAUCUUUUUUAUUCCAUCUCUUAGAAACAUACGAGUGUAAAUCUUCUGUGGACACAAAUUGAAGCUGAUGGUUUUCUAUGAGCUUCAGAUCAGCCACUAAAUGAACUGAGUUUGUUUAAGUAUCUUUACAUUUUGAAUUCAAUCAAAUUUGAUUUAAUGUGCAAACAUUAAUAAAUUCUACAGUUUUCUGUUUGAAGAAAAACGAUGAACACUCGAUCUGUGAGAUAAAAGUGUUCAAGUCCUCCACUGGUGACUUCUCAUUUUUAAAUUCUUGAACUUUUAUUGUCUAAAUCAUUUUCCGUGUUACUUGAUUAUUUGAAAAAGUGAUCAGCUUCAAAAUCAAAUGUUGAAAUUAGUUUGACUCUUGGCUCCUUGGUGCGACGCCAGUGAGGGAUCAAGUCAGAGUUUUGCACCAGGGACCUUGAAUAAAAUCAUGAAUCAGACAAACGUGAGCACGAGGAUGUUUUAACGUGUUGUUUUUAAGAGUGUAGAUGUUGAGGGACACGUGUGUCAGACCUGCUGACGUCAGGUUUUAACUGGUUUUUAAGGCAAUAUUGUAAAUACACUCAGCUCAGUUUCAGGUUGGUUUUUAUUUUGUUAAAGACUUAAAUCAUUUUAAGGAUGUUUGUGUUUCUACAGCGAGGUGAUAGUUGAGCCUUUGACCUUUGACCCCAGCUCGCUCCUCUGUCAGCUGUUAGCAUCCUCCUUCGUCCCGUCUGUGGGAAAAACUGUGUUUGACUUUUUGUGUGAUGUAACAGAAACAGUACUGAGGGGUUUUCAAUAAAAUAUAUAAAAGAAAAACGUGUGAAACUG